rnacentral:rRNA from 1 species
AAAAGAAACCAACCGGGAUUGCCUCAGUAACGGCGAGUGAAGCGGCAAAAGCUCAAAUUUGAUAUCUGCGUAAGCCGAGUUGUAAUUUGAAGAUGGCUACUUUGGUAAUGGCUCUUGUCUAUGUUCCUUGGAACAGGACGUCACAGAGGGUGAGAAUCCCGUGCGAUGAGAUGUCCAUUACCGUGUAAAGUGCUUUCGAAGAGUCGAGUUGUUUGGGAAUGCAGCUCUAAGUGGGUGGUAAAUUCCAUCUAAAGCUAAAUAUUGGCGAGAGACCGAUAGCGAACAAGUACAGUGAUGGAAAGAUGAAAAGAACUUUGAAAAGAGAGUGAAAAAGUACGUGAAAUUGUUGAAAGGGAAGGGCUUGAGAUCAGACUUGGUAUUUUGUAUGGCUUGCUUUCGGGCGGGUCCUCUGCAGUUUACUGGGCCAGCAUCGGUUUGGGUGGCAGGAUAAUAGCGAAGGAAUGUGGCUCUACUUCGGUGGAGUGUUAUAGCCUUUGUUGAUACUGCCUGCCUAGGACCGGA